rnacentral:rRNA from 1 species
UACGUAGGGGGCGAGCGUUGUCCGAAGUUACUGGGCGUAAAGCGCGCGUAGGCGGGUUCUUACGUGAGGGGCGAAAGGUUCGGGCUCAACCCGAACACUGCCUUUCAUACUGGGAACCUUGAGUAUGGGAGAGGCGAGUGGAAUGGUCGGUGUAGCGGUGAAAUGCGUAGAUAUCGAUCGGAACACCCAUGGCGAAGGCAGCUCGCUGGCCUAAAACUGACGCUGAGGCGCGAAAGCGUGGGGAGCAAACAGG